UAGGGAAUCUUCGGCUAUGGGCGAAAGCCUGACCGAGCAACGCCGCGUGAAUGAUGAAGGCCUUCGGGUUGUAAAAUUCUGUUAUAAGGGAAGAACGACUUUAGUAGGAAAUGGCUAGAGUGUGACGGUACCUUAUGAGAAAGCCACGGCUAACUACGUGCCAGCAGCCGCGGUAAGACGUAGGGGGCGAGCGUUGUUCGGAAUUACUGGGCGUAAAGAGCUCGUAGGCUGGAAAUUAAGUCUUUGAAUAAAUCUCCCGGCUUAACCGGGAACAAUUUAGAGAUACUGAUUUUCUUGAGAACAGGAGAGGGGAAUGGAAUUCCUAGUGUAGCGGUGAAAUGCGUAGAUAUUAGGAGGGACACCAGUGGCGAAGUCGGUUCUCUGGCCUGUUUCUGACGCUGAGGCACGAAAGCGUGGGGAGCAAACA
rnacentral:rRNA from 1 species